rnacentral:lncRNA from 1 species
UGAGCAAGGCAGGAACAGCACAUCAUCCGGUGAGAGAAGCAGACAGCGGCCAGGCCACACAGAGCCCUGCAGGGCACGCUGGCAGAGUUGCUUGAAAUGAAGCCGUUCCCUGAAAAGCACACAUGAAUUUCCCCUGCGGAAAAUUCAAACAGACACACUUGAGGAUUUCCACUAAAUUCUCUCUGGCCCCCAGAGCACUGGGGAAGCAUGUGAGACCUGUGCCAUCCCGGAACUGUGGCGACAAUGGUAGUUAACGUCCAUCAUCUGCAGGCACCUUCAGGAUGUGGAGCAUGCAGAGAUGACUCACGCCCACACCGGUGACCUCCAACACACCAGGGAAGGCAGGAAAAGGCUGUGUGCCAGGAUCUUGUUCUGGGCUAGAAAAGUAUGCCUGUUCGUUACCCGACCUUUGCUAAGUACACCAACUAAUGGAGCGAGAGACAUGAAAGAUCUUCACAGGCCAUGUGGAAAUGUAAUUCAAACCCAGCCCGAGGAGGUCAUAGUACCUCAGUAAAUUGAUUUCCCAGCCUGGUGUUCAGAAACCUG